ensembl:lncRNA
GAACCACUGGCUUAAAGGAAUGGUUCAAAAUUUGCUGAAUAUUAACCCCAAGAUGUAGAUGAGUUUUUUUUCUUCAUCCAAUUUGGAGAAAGGUCUUCACCCCUGCUCCUGGGUACCCACUGUGCUGCAGUGUUUAUUUCCAGCCUGCUUCGGCACCCCUGGCCUGUGAUGUUGAUGCACAAGACCUUGAUUCACUGGUUUGGGUGUGCUUGAUAAGGAUUGUACCUGAAAAUCUACAGGACAGUGGCUCCCCAGGAGCAGGGCUAAGGUCAUAGUCCUGAGGGUGUUUCAGACAUCUACAUAUAAUGCCUGCUCCCUUUCCCAACCCUGUUCCUGGAGGAAAACCAACCACUACACAAUUCUGAAAUCUUCCUACUCAAACACACCUAUUCAACUCAUCAGCUCGUUAGUAAAGACUACAUGACCUGAAAUGGUUGUCAGAUAACAGAGACUCCAAAUUUGUACUGUAGUUUUAUUAUUAUUAUUUUUUUGGUAAUGUGGAUUUGAUGCUUUCAUUUGCUAUAAUAAUGUAAUUUCUUCAUUUCAAACAAUUUCAUUUGGGAAAAAAAAACAGUAUAAGCGAAUGGUUAUAAUUAAUAAAGUUAAGUGUAAUUGCUGUGGUACUUCAAAAUAAAUACAGCAAACAGUAAUCAAUAACACGAUGAAAGACAAACUACACUAUAACACACCAACAAUGAUAAAAAACAUGAACAGUAUGAACGUUUUUAACAUAAACGUGGACUUUGUAAAAAAAACAAAUAAAUAAAUAAACGUAUUAAAACAUCAAUAAACAUUUAUAGGUUCAUCCGAAUAAGCAACAAUCUCUUAUCUGAGCCACAUAGCCUUCAUUCAAUAAACCAUCUGUUUGAGAAUAAAACGCCACAUUAGCUAUAACAUACAAUUUCGUAAUUGCUGUAAUAAACAAGUUUUUUUAUUGUUACAUUAAUAUAUUAUAUUAUCACAUAACAGUCCGCAAGUAAAUGGCUCGUUGCUUUGCUAACCGAUGACGUCGUGUGAAGUUCGGUCAACUUCACUGACACGGUUCAAAAACUGACCAAACGAUGGUUUUAUGAGACUACACAGAACUUUUUAAAUUGACAAAUAGACAUAUUUAUUUAAUGUAUGCCUUAAAUGUAGUUAAAUAAAAU